GCUGGAUUAGCUCAGAGGCAGAGCGCCACUCUUGUAAAGUGGAUGUCAAGAUUUCGAAAUUCUUAUCCAGCUCCA
rnacentral:tRNA from 1 species